rnacentral:rRNA from 1 species
AGAACGAACGCUGGCGGCAUGCCUAACACAUGCAAGUCGAACGAGACCUUCGGGUCUAGUGGCGCACGGGUGCGUAACGCGUGGGAAUCUGCCCUUGGGUUCGGAAUAACAGCGAGAAAUUGCUGCUAAUACCGGAUGAUGACGUAAGUCCAAAGAUUUAUCGCCCAAGGAUGAGCCCGCGUAGGAUUAGCUUGUUGGUGAGGUAAGAGCUCACCAAGGCGACGAUCCUUAGCUGGUCUGAGAGGAUGAUCAGCCACACUGGGACUGAGACACGGCCCAGACUCGUACGGAGCAGCAGGUGGGGAAUAGUUGGACAAGUGGGACGAAAGCCUGAUCCAGCAAUGCCGCGUGAGUGAGUGAAGGUCCUUAGGGUUAGUAAAGCCGUUCGUUUUAACCCGGGAUCGAAUUAAGUGAACG